rnacentral:rRNA from 1 species
GAUGAACGCUGGCGGCGUGCCUAAUACAUGCAAGUCGAGCGAACGGACGAGAAGCUUGCUUCUCUAAUGUUAGCGGCGGACGGGUGAGUAACACGUGGAUAACCUACCUAUAAGACUGGGAUAACUUCGGGAAACCGUAGCUAAUACCGGAUAAUAUUUUGAACCGCAUGGUUCAAAAGUGAAAGACGGUCUUGCUGUCACUUAUAGAUGGAUCCGCGCUGCAUUAGCUAGUUGGUAAGGUAACGGCUUACCAAGGCAACGAUGCAUAGCCGACCUGAGGGUGAUCGGCCACACUGGAACUGAGACACGGUCCAGACUCCUACGGGAGGCAGCAGUAGGGAAUCUUCCGCAAUGGGCGAAAGCCUGACGGAGCAACGCCGCGUGAGUGAUGAAGGUCUUCGGAUCGUAAAACUCUGUUAUUAGGGAAGAACAUAUGUGUAAGUAACUGUGCACAUCUUGACGGUACCUAAUCAGAAAGCCACGGCUAACUACGUG